GUCAAUUUCUGCAAAGACACAUUUAAGCAACAAAAUAUACAUUUGUCAACCUUUUAGAAUUUGUUUUGUACAUUAACAAAUACAAUGUGCUACCAUAGCAAUAAAUUAAAUGUACAUUAUUUACAUUACAUAGGCAGUUGGGAUCUACGAAUCACCUCCUCACUAAGAGGAAAGAAAGCAAAGUCGUCGUCACAUGGAGCAUCACUUCCAAGCCACAGUUCUUAGGUUCGACCACACAGGGGAAUCUGCACAUUCACACGCCAGCAGUCCCCGAGCUGGAGUGUCCAAGGGGAACACCCAAAACAGGAGAGAGCUGCACGCAUGCUAAGGAGCAGGAAGCGGGGGGGGGGGGGUAGUUCACACUUCCAAGCAGAAAUGUCACAAAAUCAAAGACGAUGGCAAUUAAAUUCCAGUCUUCCAGCCAAAUGCCCCCCUCCCCAGGGCUGGUAAGGCACAGGACAGAGCCGCUGCCCCACAGCCUCUCACUCGGCAGGGCUCUGCUGCCCUUGGCCCUAGUGGGGCUUGUCUUCUUCCUCCCAAAGGGGCACACGGUCCAGCUGAAGGGAGGGAGACAUGGGAUUGGGGUGUACAAGGGGCUGGCGGUAAAACAGAGUUUGGUAAAAGAAUACCCCAGCCAGCCCCACCAGGCUGCAGGAUCAGGCUUGGCAAACUUUACUGGCCUCCCCUUGCCUCGAUACAGGGUAGCUAGAGGCUGGGGGAGGAGCCGAGGGGUCCUGAGCAUGGCUGACUGGCCUGGUCCCUGCUGGCCUCCUGUACCCAUGAGAUCUACUCGAACCCCCAACUGCUUAAAACAGAUCUGUCUCUACUGACUUAGAAACCAAUGAGAAAGGUAGUGUUUGAGUUGGCACCUGGCAGGGUCAGGGAGGAAAGCGAAACAGGCUCUUGUCCUGCCUUGUCACGGGAGCCUGAGUUUCUAUUAACCACCUUCGUUUAAGAAUCAGGGAGAAAUGAAGAGUUUUUCUUUGACCACUUUUCCUCUUAAUUUAGGAAAAGGGAAGCUGAGGGUGGGUGAACAGCAUCUUUUUCCCUGGCCUCUGCCCCCAUUACACAGCCCCCAUCAGGAGCUGAAGAACCGAUCCCACUGAGGAAUAGUUCACUGAAUCCCUUUCCCUCCUCGUUUUCUUGGUUCAAGCUGCAUCCAAAGCCCAAGGGUCCUCACUGAAAAAUCCUAGAGACUAUCCCCCCUGAUGAAAAAGAGCAGAAACUGCAGCCUCACCAGCAUCCUUGACUGCUCACCUCCAUGCCAGUGCCAAAGCAGCAGCUAACUGGCUUCCCCAAAACCCAGGGCCCCAGGAAACGCAGCCACUUAUUCAACCAACCAUGUAGGCGCUGCAGAGGAAGGGACCCUGGGUUGAGGGUUCUAAUCCCAGCUUUGCCAACAGCCAGCUGUGUGACCUCAAGCAAGUUACUCCCCUCACCUGGGCUAAGAUUUCUCAUCUGGACGAUGACAUGGUUGGAUGAGAUGCUAAAAAGAGCCAGCAGGCUUGUGUUGAGAUGAUGCUGACAAAGCUGAACCACUGAAUCUUUUUCAAGAAACGUCAUUUUACAUGAUUGGCAUAGACAGACACUCUCAUUAAGACCUUCCAUCGCGAGCUUUUCUGCACCUGUUUUUAAGCGUCAACUGAGCUGGAGGCAUAUGGGUGACCCUACAGUGCCUGAAAAGUAGUUUCUUCAGUGAGUCAGGCAGUUCCCAGAGCCAGAGAUGUGUCCCGGAAAACAUCCCCUCGUGGAGAUCACAGUGGAAAUGCCUCAAACACCAGCGUGAGCACCAUCUAGAUGAGCCUAGUCACGAGGGCCAAUGAGGUUUGGGCAAAUCUUUGAGCCCCAAGACUGGGCGCAGCAUAAAAGGAAAGACAUUUUAGAUCAGAGCAGAUGUAGGGACAGCGUGGGGGAAACAGCCCUCCAGGAACCCGAGCUGCCCGCCCCGUGGUCUAGGGGAGGGAGGGGAGGCUGGGCCAUCCUUGUUCUCCUCCUCCCUCUCAGCACUGCCCGGGUGGGCUGGAAGUGCACACUCUGGAAGCCACAGGAUGGAGCUCCUAGAGAUAGUGAGGCAUGACCAGAGGGAAGAGGCAUUUGGGGUCCUGUUCAGAUCAUUCCAACAGCAAACCGGGCAUGGAGACCCCAUCUCAGGUCUGUGCUUCUCUGGGGGCCACCCAGCCAUCCUGCCCACCAGCUCAGAGGCAGGGACAAAGCCCUCCCAAGAGGCAGCAGGCAGCAAGGGUCAGCCAGCGCAGUGGGGACAGGCAGGUAUGGGAUUCCCAAAUGGGACAGCAUGGUGACAACCUGGAAACCCCAAAGGACCCCAGAUGGCAAUGUGACACGGCCCAUCCACCAAGCACCUGUAAUGCCGGCUUCCCACAGAGGCGAGCCAGAUCCUGCAACUGUUCUUAAAGAAAUGCAGUUUGACCUUGCCAGUGCCUCCAGAAGCCCAGCCAACAAAACGCGUCCAGAACGUACAGGCCUCUUUCCAGCCGUGGGGGCUGCUACGGUGACUCUUCAUAAAAGCUAAACAGAUAUUUUGUUGACCUUCUAACAAGAAUAAAUUUUACUAGACUAGUACUUUAGAGAAAGUACUAGCAAAGGGAGAGCUCCUCUCCAGCUUGCAAACAGGACUCAAUCAUUCCCACACACGUGGCGGGGAAGAAAGAUCACAAUGUUGCUUGAAUGGCAAAAGCUAUAGGGAGAAUUUCACAAUGUCAGUUAAAAAAAAAAAAAAAAAGUGUAGUAUUUAUAUCUUGGGCACAGGUCCAGAUCCCUAUGGGAAUAAAGCAUUCAGCUGGAAAUCCUUGUCAUUGGUCGUGGGGCAGGUGCCCAGCCAGUGUCACUCUGCAGCCCCGUCUGCACUGAAAGGGGCUCUUCAGGCUCGUUGUACCUGGAGGAUGCCCACCUUAACCCCAACCCGGGCCCAUCGGCAGAGAAGCCCACGGCGCUGCAGACUCGGAAGGGGGAGAAGCCAGGAGGGGAUGUCCUUGGAGGUGAGCUGGCUGUCCCAGCAAGGGGGCUCUGUGGAGGGUGGGGGUGGCAUGUGGGUCACAGGGUCUGACCCACACCCAGAUGGGGUCCAGGUUGCAGAAACCCUUCAGAUGUGACAGCUGCCUACAGACCCGCAGCUGGAGAGGGGAACAGGAUUGGGGGGUUGAGCCCCAGACGCAGCUGCCCAAGGGCACAGUAGCUGGAAAAGGCCCCAGGGCCCGAGGUUUUCCUCAACCAACACAGCAGCAUCUCAGCACUGGCUCCUUUGCUCUCCCUGAAUUCCUUCUCACUCCUGGCUUCCCACCCCUUUGUGGGAAAAUAUCUUCUCAAAGGGAAGAGACUGCCUCGGGGCUGCCCCUCCCUCCCCUCACCCCACAGCAGCCAUAAUCAGGAGAAACCGGGUGGGACCCAAAGUCCCCGCCUCAGUCCAGGAAGUGUGCAGCGCAGUUCUGGCCCGUCCAGCUCUGGCUCUGAGCUUGAACUGGCUGGAGCCCCGCUCACGGUACACUGGCAGCAGGGGCAGGGCAGCCCUGGGCCUACGUCAGCAGAUGGGAAAGGCGUUCAGCACAGAAGCAGAUAGACGGUUUAGAGCUCCAGAGCUACGGGGGCAAUAGCGCCGAAUUUUAUCAGGAUGGCCUCAAGGAUGCUACGAAUCUUGGCUCCUGGGAACAUGGGGCCUCCACCACCGAGUGCGUUCCUGGUAGUAAAGCCUGCCACGUUCAGGAAGGCACUGCCCUGUGGCCAAGACCCUCACCGAGGCUCUGCUCCCACCCCCUACUCUGUCUCUGAGGCAGACCAGCUCCCCAGUCACUGCUGAGCUCCCCCCAGAUCCCCCUUUGCCCGACACUUUUCCUCUCCAGGAUGAAUAGGAUGAUAAAGGACCCGGACAUCACACUGGGAGGUCAGGAGCAGGAGGAACCUGAGGAAGGAGGCCUCGUCCAGAGAUGGGAGGGGCUGGGAGGGCAUGUAGGUGAGGGCGGAGGCAGGGCUGUGGCCAGACUGGGACACCUGGACCAACAGCACAUCUGUGGGCACGUGGCCAUGGGGCAGCAGGGCUGGGACUGUCAGGGUCGUGGACGGCACUCCCAAACUGCUGGUACAGGAGCCUUUUCCAGGACAGAAGAGGGGAUUCCCUGAGGAGACAAGGAGGA
rnacentral:lncRNA from 1 species